AGCAGUGUGGCUUAGUGGAAAGAGCACGGGUUUGGGAGUCAUAGGUCAUGGGUUCUAAUCCCGACUCUGCCA
rfam:Ornithorhynchus anatinus chromosome 2, whole genome shotgun sequence.